CAGCCGCCGCGGUAAUACGUAGGUGGCAAGCGUUAUCCGGAAUUAUUGGGCGUAAAGCGCGCGUAGGCGGUUUUUUAAGUCUGAUGUGAAAGCCCACGGCUCAACCGUGGAGGGUCAUUGGAAACUGGAAAACUUGAGUGCAGAAGAGGAAAGUGGAAUUCCAUGUGUAGCGGUGAAAUGCGCAGAGAUAUGGAGGAACACCAGUGGCGAAGGCGGCUUUCUGGUCUGUAACUGACGCUGAUGUGCGAAAGCGUGGGGAUCAAACAGGAUUAGAUACCCCGGUAGUCCCUGUCUCUUAUAC
rnacentral:rRNA from 1 species